ACACUAACAACAGCGUCAAGGAGGCUCCUUGUGAAAGUAUGCGUCAGUAACCUGGUGGAGAAGCAUGGCUUUUACCCAUCAAGUGCUGAAAAGCUUUCCCUGGCAAAGAGUAUUGUCACCACUUUCCCAACAAUGAGAGUCCAGAUUGAUGGAAAAGGAGAUGGAUUUGAACAUUUUUAUGAUCCGUCAUCACACUCUGGAUUUUUGGAGAUGAGACUACGCAACAUGCGCCGACAUUUGGAAUC